rnacentral:rRNA from 1 species
AGAGUUUGAUCCUGGCUCAGGAUGAACGCUGGCGGCGUGCCUAAUACAUGCAAGUCGAACGAGGUGCUUUUGUAGCAAUACGAGAGUAUCCUAGUGGCGAACGGGUGAGUAACGCGUUGGUGACCUGCCCCAAAGUGUGGGAUAACAGUCCGAAAGGAUUGCUAAUACCUCAUGUGGCCAUCGGGUUUAGAAACCGAUGUCUAAAGCAGCAGUGCGCUUUGGGAGGGACCUGCGUCCCAUCAGCUAGUUGGUGAGGUAACGGCUCACCAAGGCGACGACGGGUAGGGGGCCUGAGAGGGUGGCCCCCCACAAUGGAACUGAAACACGGUCCAUACACCUACGGGUGGCAGCAGUAGGGAAUAUUGCACAAUGGGCGAAAGCCUGAUGCAGCAACGCCGCGUGAGCGAUGAAGGCCUUCGGGUCGUAAAGCUCUUUUCUGGGAGAUGAGAAAGGACAGUAUCCCAGGAAUAAGUCUCGGCUAACUACGUGCCAGCAGCCGCGGUAAAACGUAGGAGGCAAGCGUUAUCCGGAUUCACUGGGCGUAAAGCGCGUGCAGGCGGUUUGGUAAGUUGGGCGUGAAAUCUCCCGGCUCAACUGGGAGGGGUCGUUCAAUACUACCAGACUCGAGAGCGAUAGAGGAAAAUGGAAUUCCCGGUGUAGUGGUGAAAUGCGUAGAUAUCGGGAGGAACACCAGUGGCGAAAGCGAUUUUCUGGAUCGUUUCUGACGCUCAGACGCGAAAGCUAGGGUAGCAAACGGGAUUAGAGACCCCGGUAGUCCUAGCUGUAAACGAUGUGAACUUGGCGUUGGUGGCUUAAACUCCAUCAGUGCCGAAGCUAACGCGAUAAGUUCACCGCCUGGGGACUACGGCCGCAAGGUUAAAACUCAAAGGAAUUGACGGG